rnacentral:rRNA from 1 species
GACAGAGGAUGCAAGCGUUAUCCGGAUUCACUGGGUUCAAAGGGUGCGUAGGUGGGCCUGUAAGUCAGUGGUGAAAUCUCCGAGCUUAACUCGGAAACUGCCGUUGAUACUUUAGGUCUUGAAUAUCGCGUAGGUAAGCGGAAUAUGUCAUGUAGCGGUGAAAUGCUUAGAUAUGACAUAGAACACCAAUUGCGAAGGCAGCUUACUUCACGAUCAUUGACACUGAGGCACGAAAGCGUGGGGAGCAAACAGG